rnacentral:tRNA from 1 species
AGAAAGUUAGUCUAACUAAGACAGUUGAUUUCGGCUCAACAAACCAUAGCCUAGAUCUAUGACUUUCUU